CUUUGUGCUGUAACAUAGAAACAAUAUUAACAACCAAGUUUGUCGUUUGUUAACAUAGAACGUACGAACGGAUUCAUCAAUAACCCAACACAGCGCCACCUUCUGUCUCGUUACUUCCCCUGUUUCGAACUCGACUUGUUUAACUUCAUCUCUCAACCCCUCGAUCUUGUAAACCUCAUGCUGUUCCAACUCACGAACUUUCUCUGGGGGGAAGGUGGUACGUGGUAACAGCACAACGAGCUCUUCGUUCUGGUGCGUCAACUUUUGUAAACUUUGUUCGGCUUUCUUUAAAUAAGCUUUGAACAUCGCCUCCGAGUGGUGGAGAUCAGUCCUGUUUAUAAGAUAUCCAUGUUAACAAGGUAAAGCAACUUCUAACAUAGUUUUAAGAUUUCGUAAGGAGGUAAAAUUACAAGGUUAUGCCGCAUAUGCUAGCUCCUAACGAACUACAGCCCCUAACUAGGAAACCCCCCAACAUAUUUUCAUUUGUUUCUUGUUCUUUAACGUAUGAGUGAGGAACUCACCCUCUGUGCAGUAGGAACUUUAUAAAACAACACACGCA